UCGCAGUCCUUUUCCCUGGCAGCACCAUUGGGAUGGUAGUCCGAGCUCGUGAAACCAAGCAAGCCGCUCAUGUAUCCAACCAUGCUGUCCCAUUCCCAUGCGGAACUUGGAGAAGAGGCUGGUAAGUUGUUCUCGGAGUUUGACGAUUGCGAGAGCAUUGACGCCGUUGUGUGGAGCAGGACUUGGAGAGGGGCUGUCGGAGAUGCUAGCCUGGAAACGUAGGCGUUCUCGCUUUCUCUCCACAGAAGCAGCAGCAGGAGCACCAACACCGCAUCAACUUCCAGCCGUUUUCUAUCCGCGGAGAGCUUGACGGACAACGUUGAGGCGAGGUGGUCGAGAAUGUUGUUGGAGAAGAAAUAGCUGGUGAUGGGAUUGGAGUUUACGUUGUCCGUGGCUGUUAAGAUGGUCAAGCACAGCCUGCAAGGAUUCCACUCGGAUCAAACUCUCGAGAAGGAAAAAAGUUCACGUACCUUAGCCCGAGGGACUUCACAAGAACUGGAACAUUGUCUCUCGCCAGAAGAGUUCCAACGCUGGAGAUCAAUCGUCGAAAAAACGUGUCUGCGUUAUCUGGCGAGCCAGCAAGCAACAAUGUAAUGGUCACACCCUGCGAAGAAACGUAAAUCUCGAUGGAAAUCUUCCUCACUCAAUCGCUCACCUGUUGGCUGAAUCGCUUUCGAAAAAUCUCUCUGGUGAGAACCGCGAGGCUCUCCAGCGCGUGAGCGACUCGGAUAAAAUUCUCAUCGCUUAGAUACCUGUGAAGCAAAAGAAGAAGAUUUCUAUACUCCUCGAUCGACGAACUCAACUCACAACUCACUCACGUCACGCAAGCUGCAAAGAUUUCGUUGAUAAUCGGCUUUAAUCCAUGCCGGAGCUCCUCCUCCGUCCUGCUCGAGACGCAUUGCGCCAGGAAUUCCUGGUUCACCUAACAAGAAUGCAAAUUCUAGACAAUGCGGGCGAUCUAGGAGCUACCUUGAGCAAGAGGAGCUCGUCCCAGAAUCUGGUUAGGGCAGUGCGGCCCUGGAUUCCUCGAUCCCGCGCGAAUUGGAUCGGGCUCCUCCCGGAGAAGAUCUCCUCGCACAGCGACACAUACUUCUCCUUGAACGAUUUCUCUGGAGUAAUUCGGGGUAGCAUCCCUGGCAAAGCGUGGGAA
rnacentral:lncRNA from 1 species